GACGAACGCUGGCGGCGUGCCUAAUACAUGCAAGUUGAGCGCUGAAGGUUGGUACUUGUACCAACUGGAUGAGCAGCGAACGGGUGAGUAACGCGUGGGUAAUCUGCCUUUGAGCGGGGGACAACAUUUGGAAACGAAUGCUAAUACCGCAUAAAAACUUUAAACACAAGUUUUAAGUUUGAAAGAUGCAAUUGCAUCACUCAAAGAUGAUCCCGCGUUGUAUUAGCUAGUUGGUGAGGUAAAGGCUCACCAAGGCGAUGAUACAUAGCCGACCUGAGAGGGUGAUCGGCCACAUUGGGACUGAGACACGGCCCAAACUCCUACGGGAGGCAGCAGUAGGGAAUCUUCGGCAAUGGACGAAAGUCUGACCGGGCAACGCCGCGUGAGUGAAGGAGGUUUUCGGAUCGUAAAACUCUGUUGGUAGAGAAGAACGUUGGUGAGAGUGGAAAGCUCAUCAAGUGACGGUAACUACCCAGAAAGGGACGGCUAACUACGUG
rnacentral:rRNA from 1 species